AGAGUUUGAUCAUGGCUCAGGAUCAACGCUGGCGGCGUGCCUAACGCAUGUAAGUCGCGCGGCAAGCUUUCGAGCUUGCAGCGGCGAACGGCUGAGGAACACGUACGAACCUGCCCUCGCGUGGGGAAUAACGCGCCGAAAGGCGUGCUAAUACCGCGUACGCUCAGCCCUUUGGGGCUGAGGAAAGCCGUCAGGCGCGCGAGGAGGGGCGUGCGGCCCAUCAGGUCGUUGGCGGGGUAAAGGCCCACCAAGCCGGUGACGGGUAGCUGGUCUGUGAGGACGAUCAGCCAGACUGGGACUGAGACACGGCCCAGACACCUACGGGUGGCAGCAGCGAGGAAUCUUCUACAAUGGGCGCAAGCCCGAUAGAGCAACGCCGCGUGGAGGACGACGGCCUUCGGGUUGUAAACUCCUUUCGGGGGGGGAAGAUACGGACGGUACCCCCAGAAGCAGCCCCGGCUAACUCUGUGCCAGCAGCCGCGGUAAGACAGAGGGGGCAAGCGUUGUCCGGAUUUACUGGGCGUACAGCGCGCGCAGGUGGCCGAGUAUGUGCCGUGUGACAUGUGGGAGCUUAACUCCCAAGGGCCACGGUAGACAGCGCGGCUGGAGGCAGGGAGAGGGUCGUGGAAUACCCGGUGGAGCGGUGAAAUGCGUAGAGAUCGGGUGGAACCCAGCGGCGAAGGCGGCGACCUGGCCCUGAACUGACACUGAGGCGCGAGAGCGUGGGGAGCGAACAGGAUUAGAUACCCUAGUAGUCC
rnacentral:rRNA from 1 species